UACGUAGGGGGCAAGCGUUGUCCGGAUUUAUUGGGCGUAAAGAGCGUGUAGGCGGUUUGGUAGGUCCGCUGUGAAAACUCGAGGCUCAACCUCGAGAUGUCGGCGGAAACCGUCUGGCUAGAGUCCGGAAGAGGAGAGUGGAAUUCCUGGUGUAGCGGUGAAAUGCGCAGAUAUCAGGAAGAACACCUAUGGCGAAGGCAGCUCUCUGGGACGGUACUGACGCUGAGACGCGAAAGCGUGGGGAGCGAACAGG
rnacentral:rRNA from 1 species